rnacentral:rRNA from 1 species
UGGAGGGGGAUAACUACUGGAAACGGUAGCUAAUACCGCAUAACGUCGCAAGACCAAAGAGGGGGACCUUCGGGCCUCUUGCCAUCAGAUGUGCCCAGAUGGGAUUAGCUAGUAUGUGGGGUAACGGCUCACCUAGGCGACGAUCCCUAGCUGGUCUGAGAGGAUGACCAGCCACACUGGAACUGAGACACGGUCCAUACUCCUACGGGAGGCAGCAGUGGGGAAUAUUGCACAAUGGGCGCAAGCCUGAUGCAGCCAUGCCGCGUGUAUGAAGAAGGCCUUCGGGUUGUAAAGUACUUUCAGCGGGGAGGAAGGUGCUGAGGUUAAUAACCUCAGCAAUUGACGUUACCCGCAGAAGAAGCACCGGCUAACUCCGUGCCAGCAGCCGCGGUAAUACGGAGGGUGCAAGCGUUAAUCGGAAUUACUGGGCGUAAAGCGCACGCAGGCGGUCUGUCAAGUCGGAUGUGAAAUCCCCGGGCUCAACCUGGGAACUGCAUUCGAAACUGGCAGGCUUGAGUCUCGAAGAGGGGGGUAGAAUUCCAGGUGUAGCGGUGAAAUGCGUAAAGAUCUGGAGGAAUACCGGUGGCGAAGGCGGCCCCCUGGACGAAGACUGACGCUCAGGUGCGAAAGCGUGGGGAGCAAACAGGAUUAGAUACCCUGGUAGUCCACGCCGUAAACGAUGUAUAUAUGGAGGUUGUGCCCUUGAGGCGUGGCUUCCGGAGUUAACGCGUUAAAUAGACCGCCUGGGGAGUACGGCCGCAAGGUUAAAACUCAAAUGAAUUGACGGGGGCCCGCACAAGCGGUGGAGCAUGUGGUUUAAUUCGAUGCAACGCGAAGAACCUUACCUACUCUUGACAUCCAGAGAACUUUCCAGAGAUGGAUUGGUGCCUUCGGGAACUCUGAGACAGGUGCUGCAUGGCUGUCGUCAGCUCGUGUUGUGAAAUGUUGGGUUAAGUCCCGCAACGAGCGCAACCCUUAUCCUUUGUUGCCAGCGGUUCGGCCGGGAACUCAAAGGAGACUGCCAGUGAUAAACUGGAGGAAGGUGGGGAUGACGUCAAGUCAUCAUGGCCCUUACGAGUAGGGCUACACACGUGCUACAAUGGCGUAUACAAAGAGAAGCGACCUCGCGAGAGCAAGCGGACCUCAUAAAGUACGUCGUAGUCCGGAUUGGAGUCUGCAACUCGACUCCAUGAAGUCGGAAUCG